AUUAAUAAUGAAUUAAGUGCCCUAAACUCUCCUAACUGACCGCUGUAUCCUCUCGUCCCGAGAUCUUGGUUGAUCAAUGAAAACUCCACAUUCAAUAUUCGUCUUUAUCAUAUAUUCGCAUCGUGUGUCUCGUCAGUCUUGGAAAAUCGCUUCGUCAAGACAUUUUAUUCUCGUCUCUCUCUCUCUCUCUCCCAUUUUUUUAUACUUUUUUUCACGACGAAGAACAUGUAUCAACUUUGCGACAAGAUAGAGUGAGAGACGACAUGUACGUGCACCGUCGCGAUCAUGCGUAUUGAAUGUGGAAGAAAUCACUGUCAUCCACAUUCAGUUUCUACCUUCUUCAUUUUCAGUUCUUCGCUCAUCAUUCUCUAACGUCACGAAAUUCGUCUAUAAUUCGUAUAACGAAGGCGAAAGCUUUUAUUGCACACAUUUACCUACAGUUGGCGGAGGAAUUGACGCAAGAAUACGGAAUCCCCGAAGAUGUCUCCGCCAAGGUAACGGCCGUGUUUCUCAAGCAAUUCAGAAAAUGCCCGGACAACGCGACCUGCACGUUAGACGCUUGGCGCACCAUUUUGUGGAGCAAGGCCCUCGGCGACAAGUACUCGCGCUUUGCGAGGAAGGUUUACGAACGAUGGCUGUAUUUAAGAUAUCAUUAUAUGGUACUGACACCGGCCACCGUGUCGAUGCUGCGGCAGCUGAGGAAGAAGUAUCUGCUGGGGCUGAUCACCAACGGCCCGUCGAAUGCACAGUGGGAGAAGGUGCGCAAGCUGUCGCUGGAGCAGUACUUCGAUAUCAUCCUGGUAUCGGGUGAUCUCCCGUGGGAGAAACCGGACGUUGAGAUAUUCCAGAAGGCCUGCGACUUGCUCAACGUCAGACCCAAGGAGUGCAUCAUGGUCGGCGACAAGCUGGAGACCGAUAUUCUAGGACGUCCUAAGGUCGUCCUGGAUAGGCUCAAGACAACCUUGAAUGACAUCCUGAGGACAUCCAGAACACAUUUUGGGGAAUCUUGUGCUAUCUGAGGCGCGACAACGAGCACAUUUUUCUCUCUCCAUAUUCACGUGAACAAACAAGAUCCACUUCACAGCUUUGUGAAGUGUUACAGCUUUUGAGCAUCUGGCUGCAUACAACUACACUCCUGAAAUCACCAACUAACGGUGACAUUACAUGAAUGUUAUGACUCGUUUCUUUGCAAUUAAUUUGCGACAUUGACGUAACAUAUUAAUUGGUUGCUUACCGAGUAACUACAUGAAGAACAUACAUAUAGGAAAGGUAUGCGUCUUCAAUGGUACAUGGUGUGCGCCGCAAUAAAUGUCGACAUUACAUUGUAUAGGUGGUAUCGAGGCUGGACUCUGCGGGACCGUGUGGAUACCCACCGCAGACAAGCCUCGUCUCUU
rnacentral:misc_RNA from 1 species